rnacentral:tRNA from 1 species
UGGGGUGUGGCUCAGCGGUAGAGCGCUCGCCUAGCAUGCAUGAGGUACUGUGUUCCAUCCUCAGCACCAUAU